CAGGGUUCAGCUCAUGAAUUGGAAAAGCGCACAUGUACUUUGGAAGAGAAUGCCGCAGCUUAGCCCCCAGGGAACAACUGGGAUGCUAUUCAUAGAAAAGCCUGCUAUUUGCAUCUGCCUGGCAUUUGAAUUGAGCUCACCUAACUGCCUUCCUCACAGAUUUUCACAGGAGAAGCAAGCAGAAAAGCGAAGUUUGAACAGACGAGGAGGCAUAGCAGUGCCAAAGAAGGGACAAAGGAAGAAAAGGCAGCCUUGGGAGCGGGGAGGGCACCAUACUCCCUUCCUUAGGCUGCCACCACCAGGCUGAGCUCCAGAGUGACCGGAGAAGUCCCUUCAUCUCCCAGGUGAUGGGAAAGUGGUCUUCUGCUAUCAGAGGGGAAGAAUCUGGAACGGUUCCUAACUUAAUCUUCCACAUACUGGGGCUAUUCCUUGGGUAGGAAAUUUUAUGGUUUUAUUCCUGGAAUUGGUGACCUAUGGUGAAAUUCCUGGGACUGAUGACUUUUGGACUUUUAAAGUUCCUAGUCCUUUCAAAAGCUCCAACAGUGGCUUCUCCAACCACCGGCUAUUCUCCAGCGAGUAAAGGGACCUCAGGAGCUGAGAAAACACUGACGGGAGAGAGGCUAGGGACUGGCGCAAGACCAGGACAGCCACCAGAGUGAGUGCCAGGAAAAGCUAAAUGAGAUAAGCUCGGAGACUAGAUAAGGACAGUCUGUACAGAACAUGAGCCCGGGGAGCAGGCUCAUGUCCAUCCUCCCAACAUGCAGAGCAGAGAAUCCUCAGAUGCCUUGUUUGUGUCUUGGUUUGAGAAGAGCACAGCACAGCUGUAUCCCCGGUCAUCAGAACAAGUGCGCCAUGGAGGAAAAGGAAGCGGUGGACAGAAGGGAGAGGCUGCCACAGUGACAGAAGCGGACGAGUCACAAGGCAUGGAGGAGUCCUGCUCCUCCAUUCCUCAGUGGCUGAGAAGGUUCCCAGCCUGCCCCGCCCUCUCUCAGCCUGCCUGCCCCACCCCCUUUUACCUUGCCUCUGUGAGUGGCCCCACACUCCCCCGGAACACAGAGUCCUCUGUGGCUAGACUCUGGGAGGGCUAAACGGCCAACGGACUUUGUGCGAGAUCCAAGCUGCAUGUGUGAGAAGGAGAGGGAGGUCAAAGAUGGAAAGGGUGGGAGGGGCACACUGUUACGGGCUCCCUCUCAUGCAUUUGGGGCCUGACCUCCAGGAAAACAGCACAACACAAAACAAAAAGAAGCAAAAAGCAAAGGGAGCAAGGUUUGGAAAUGGAAUGACCCCCAAUCCUGUCUGUGGGCCUGGACUAGCCCUGACCUUGCUCUAGACCCCUGUCUUCCAUGGCCAUGCCUACAGCAAUAGCCACAAUGUCAGGUGGACACUAUAGAAGGACUGAAACACACACACACACACACAGAGAGAGAGAGAAAGAGAGAGAGAGAGAGAGAGAGAGAGAGCCCUUUUGCCCAGUGUAGUUGAGAGAAUGGGACAAGGGAUUUUUGCAUAUUUAGUCCAUGACAGCCCAGGACAAACUGGCAUAACUGGUCACUCCAGGAAAAAAUGGGCACCACAGAGACCAUGGAGGUAGCUAGCAUGUGGUAUGGCUGUGACAGCAGAUGAGAAUGAAAAAUGUCUUCCUGGAGCCUGGAAAUCCCUCCUGCAUUUAGCUCCCUUUUUGACCAACCGGGUGCCUGUCCCUCUGAUGGCUGACGCUGAGCUCAGGAUGAGCCGUGUGUGUGUGUGUGUGUGUGUGUGUGUGUGUGUGUGUGUGUGUGUGUGUGUGUUUUCCCCACUAUUUGCUGCAGUGGCUCUCAUUCUGUCAGGCUGCUGGGACCUGUUCUCCUAGGCUCCAGGAGGUGAAGGUCAGCUGAGGACAGGCUGAUUAGCUUGCCCUGUGGGGCCUUUCUCUUGGUGACACAGCCUCUGGCUCAGAACAAAGGCCCCUCAUUAGGCUGGGAGAGAGGCACGCCUUUGACCAUGAGAGUGCUGCCAUCUGCCGUCCGCAUGGAGGUCCUCCUGCUUGGAGUCCUGCACGGCCUGCCUUGCCCCAUCCCCAGCCCACUGCGAUGCAGACCCCGUGAGAGGUAUAAGGAAGAGCUCUGGAAGGCUGGCAAUGCAGGCCCAGAGCACAGCUUGUUGAGGCCAUAGGGUCCUAGGAUUUGGACCCAGACUGACGCUUUUAGCUGUCAUGGAGUUCCCAGGCCCAGGGAUCCACUGGUGACUGCUCAGUGCAGUCAAUUAUUAAGUAUUCAGGAAUUUUACAGGUUGCAUUGUCAGCUGGAAAUGGGUCUCAGCAGCAGUAUUUACAUGAUGGAAGUUGGCAUAGGCCCCAAGUCAGAGCUUUCCCCAACUCCCAAACCCCUGCAUCUCAUUUGUCAACACUGCAAAAAGCCCUGUAAACCUCCAAACAGGCUGAGGGCAGGAGAGGCUCAACAGUAGAAGGUUUGCUUGCCCAAGGCCCUCAGUUGACUCCAGAAAUAAACAGAAAAAUGACACCCCUGUUGGCAGGUGUGUCCUUAGAUGACCACCAGAUGUGGCACUCAUACCACAGGAAAAGCAGAGAUAGAUUCUGACAGGAGGGAGGCACCUCUACCCUGAUAAGAGGGAAUUUGCAAGGAAGAAACUUCAUCAUGAAGAAUCAACUCCCAUGCACUCGAGGGCUGUGGGACAGAAGGCAGCGAAAAUGCAUCAACAGUUAUCCUGAAUCUGAUGGUGGCACCGCGUGAAUGGCCACACCUGGUCGGCUCUCAGGUCCCCUGACUUGUGUGGUGGCAUCCAAGGGAUUCGCUGAAGGGCUAGGACAUUACCAGGCACGAAGCGUGCACUUAGCGCCCGUUAGAUGUUAUCAGUCAUUGAUUGGAGCCUCAGCAGCUCUGGAAGCAGAGCUUGCCAGCUCCCUCCCAAAACCAGUGUCAUGUCUCGUGGGGUAACACACGCCUUUGAUCCCAGCACUCAAGAAGCAGAAGCAGAAGCAGAACUCUGUGAGUUUAAGACCAGCCUGGUCUCCAUAGUGGGUUCCAGAAUAGCCAGGGCUACACUGUGAGAGCCUGUCUCAAAAACAAAACAAAACAAAACAAAACAAAAACAACUAAAAUAAAAGUAAAGUCAGUGUUUA